rnacentral:rRNA from 1 species
AUUGAACGCUGGCGGCAGGCCUAACUCAUGCAAGUCGAACGGUAACAGGAAGCAGCUUGCUGCUUUGCUGACGAGUGGCGGACGGGUGAGUAAUGUCUGGGAAACUGCCUGAUGGAGGGGGAUAACUACUGGAAACGGUAGCUAAUACCGCAUAACGUCGCAAGACCAAAGAGGGGGACCUUCGGGCCUCUUGCCAUCGGAUGUGCCCAGAUGGGAUUAGCUAGUAGGUGGGGUAACGGCUCACCUAGGCGACGAUCCCUAGCUGGUCUGAGAGGAUGACCAGCCACACUGGAACUGAGACACGGUCCAGACUCCUACGGGAGGCAGCAGUGGGGAAUAUUGCACGAUGGGCGCAAGCCUGAUGCAGCCAUGCCGCGUGUAUGAAGAAGGCCUUCGGGUUGUAAAGUACUUUCAGCGGGGAGGAAGGGAGUAAAGUUAAUACCUUUGCUCAUUGACGUUACCCGCAGAAGAAGCACCGGCUAACUCCGUG